UUCGCAAUGCCCGAAAGGGUGACGAAGCGACGCCGCGUGUGGGAAGAAGGCCUUCGGGUUGUAAACCACUGUCAGGAGUUAGGAAGCGCAGGAGCGUUAAUAGCGUUCUUGCUUGACUAAGGCUCCAGAGGAAGCCACGGCUGACUCUGUGCCAGCAGCCGCGGUAAUACAGAGGCGGCAAGCGUUGUUCGGAAUUAUUGGGCGUAAAGGGCACGUAGGCGGCCUUGCAAGUCAGUUGUGAAAGCCUUCCGCUUAACGGAAGAAUGCCAGCUGAUACUACAGGGCUUGAGUACGGGAGGGGAGAGUGGAGCUUCUGGUGGAGCGGUGAAAUGCGUAGAUAUCAGAAGGAACGCCGGCGGCGAAAGCGACUCUCUGGCCCGAAACUGACGCUGAGUGUGCGAAAGCUAGGGGAGCGAACGGGAUUAGAUACCCCGGUAGUCCUAGCCGUAAACGAUGGGCACUAAGUAGAGGGGUUUU
rnacentral:rRNA from 1 species